rnacentral:rRNA from 1 species
UACGUAGGGUCCAAGCGUUAAUCGGAAUUACUGGGCGUAAAGCGCACGUAGGCGGCCAAGCAAGUCGGAUGUGAAAUCCCUCGGCUCAACCAAGGAAGUGCAUCCGAAACUGCAGGGCUUGAGUACUUAAGAGGAUCGCGGAAUUCCCGGUGUAGAGGUGAAAUUCGUAGAUAUUCGGAAGAACACCAGUGGCGAAGGCGGCUCACUGGACGACUGUUGACGCUGAGGUGCGAAAGCGUGGGGAGCAAACAGGG